rnacentral:rRNA from 1 species
AUAGCGUAUAUUAAAGUUGUUGCAGUUAAAAAGCUCGUAGUUGAACUUCAGACCCGGCCGGGCGGUCUGCCUAACGGUAUGUACUGUCUGGCUGGGCCUUACCUCUUGGUGAGCCGGCAUGCCCUUCACUGGGUGUGUCGGGGAACCAGGACUUUUACCUUGAGAAAAUUAGAGUGUUCAAAGCAGGCCUAUGCCUGAAUACAUUAGCAUGGAAUAAUAAAAUAGGACGUGCGGUUCUAUUUUGUUGGUUUCUAGAGUCGCCGUAAUGAUUAAUAGGGAUAGUUGGGGGCAUUGGUAUUGAGUCGCUAGAGGUGAAAUUCUUGGAUUGACUCAAGACCAACUAUUG